GGCUUAGAGUUUGAUCAUGGCUCAGGACGAACGCUGGCGGCGCGCCUAACACAUGCAAGUCGAACGGAAAGAUUUUUCUACUCCGAGUUCUUUGCGGGCCUUUGGAUAGAGCGUCAAUCAAUGCGAAGCAUCGCAGAUGCAGAGCAUUGAUUCAGGCUUUAUUUAGAAGACUAACACAAAGGCGGAGCAGAGAGUUGGGAGUAGGAAAAUCUUUUAGUGGCGAACGGGUGAGUAACGCGUGAGGAACCUGCCUCAAAGUGGGGGACAACAGUUGGAAACGACUGCUAAUACCGCAUAAGCCCACGGUACCGCAUGGUACUGAGGGAAAAGGAUUUAUUCGCUUUGAGAUGGCCUCGCGUCCGAUUAGCUAGUUGGUGAGGUAACGGCCCACCAAGGCGACGAUCGGUAGCCGGACUGAGAGGUUGAACGGCCACAUUGGGACUGAGACACGGCCCAGACUCCUACGGGAGGCAGCAGUGGGGAAUAUUGCACAAUGGGGGAAACCCUGAUGCAGCGACGCCGCGUGGAGGAAGAAGGUCUUCGGAUUGUAAACUCCUGUUGUUGAGGAAAAAGAGGAUGGUACUCAACAAGGAAGUGACGGCUAACUACGUGCCAGCAGCCGCGGUAAAACGUAGGUCACAAGCGUUGUCCGGAAUUACUGGGUGUAAAGGGAGCGCAGGCGGGUAUGCAAGUUGGGAGUGAAAUACAUGGGCUCAACCCAUGAACUGCUCUCAAAACUGUGUAUCUUGAGUAGUGCAGAGGUAGGC
rnacentral:rRNA from 1 species